GCCGGGCGCGGUGGCUCAAGCCUGUAAUCACAGCACUUGGGAGGCCGAGACGGGCGGAUCACGAGGUCAGGAGAUCGAGACUAUGCUGGCUAACACGGUGAAACCCCGUCUCUACUAAAAAAUACAAAAAACUAGCCGGGCAAGGUGGCGGGCGCCUGUAGUCCCAGCUACUUGNNNNNNNNNNCAAGUAGCUGGGACUACAGGCGCCCGCCACCUUGCCCGGCUAGGUUUUUUUUGUAUUUUUUAGUAGAGACGGGGUUUCACCGUAUUAUCCAGGAUGGUCUCGAUCUCUUGACCUCGUGAUCCACCCGUCUCGGC
rfam:Chlorocebus sabaeus isolate 1994-021 chromosome 22, whole genome shotgun sequence.